UGGGGAAUUUUGGACAAUGGGGGCAACCCUGAUCCAGCCAUGCCGCGUGCAGGAUGAAGGCCUUCGGGUUGUAAACUGCUUUUGUACGGAACGAAAAGACUCUGGUUAAUACCUGGGGUCCAUGACGGUACCGUAAGAAUAAGCACCGGCUAACUACGUGCCAGCAGCCGCGGUAAUACGUAGGGUGCAAGCGUUAAUCGGAAUUACUGGGCGUAAAGCGUGCGCAGGCGGUGAUGUAAGACAGAGGUGAAAUCCCCGGGCUCAACCUGGGAACUGCCUUUGUGACUGCAUCGCUGGAGUGCGGCAGAGGGGGAUGGAAUUCCGCGUGUAGCAGUGAAAUGCGUAGAUAUGCGGAGGAACACCAAUUGCGAAGGCAGGUUACCAAGAUAUAACUGACGCU
rnacentral:rRNA from 1 species